GGCACUUUGCCAGAGUGGUUAAUGGGUAGCACUCGAAUUUCUGUAGUCUCUACAGAAUAUAAGAUAUGCUAUGUCUUCGGACGCGCAGGUUCAAAUCCUGCAGGUGUCG
rfam:Botryotinia fuckeliana BcDW1 unplaced genomic scaffold Scaffold_223, whole genome shotgun sequence.